AUUGAACGCUGGCGGCAGGCCUAACACAUGCAAGUCGAGCGAGUGGCGGACGGGUGAGGAAUACAUGGGAAUCUACUCUGUCGAGGGGGAUAACGUAGGGAAACUUACGCUAAUACCGCAUACGAUUGAAUGAGCCCAUGUCGGAUUAGCUAGUUGGCGGGGUAAAGGCCCACCUAGGCGACGAUCCGUAGCUGGUCUGAGAGGAUGAUCAGCCACACUGGAACUGAGACACGGUCCAGACUCCUACGGGAGGCAGCAGUGGGGAAUAUUGGACAAUGGGCGCAAGCCUGAUCCAGCCAUGCCGCGUGUGUGAAGAAGGCCUUCGGGUUGUAAAGCCCUUUUGUUGGGAAAGCGUUACCCGAAGAAGAAGCACCGGCUAACUUCGUGCCAGCCGCCGCGGUAAUAC
rnacentral:rRNA from 1 species